rnacentral:rRNA from 1 species
AGUGAACGUUGGCGGCGUGGAUUAGGCAUGCAAGUCGAGCGGUAAGGCCCCUUCGGGGGUACACGAGCGGCGAAAGGGAGAGGAAUACGCGGGUACCUGCCCUCAGGCCCGGGAUAACCAGGGGAAACUCUGGCUAAUACCGGAUAACAUCUCCGGAUCCACGGUGUGAUUCCGCCUGGGGAUGGGCCCACGUCCUAUUCGCUAGUUGGUGAGGAAGCGGCUCACGAAGGCCACGAUGGGUACGAGGUGUGAGAGCAUGACCUCGCUCACUGGGACUGAGACACUGCCCAGACACCUACGGGUGGCUGCAGUCGAGAAUCUUCGGCAAUGGGCGCAAGCCUGACCGAGCGACGCCGCGUACGGGAUGAAGGCCCUCGGGUUGUAAACCGUUGUCAGAGGGGAGGAAAUCUUGUUGGGUUCUCCCAGCAAGUUGACCUAGCCUCAGAGGAAGGACGGGCUAAGUUCGUGCCAGCAGCCGCCGUAACAC